GCCCCUGUAGCUCAGUGGAUAGAGCGCUUGCCUCCGGAGCAAGAGGUCCCGCGUUCGAGUCGCGGCAGGGGUGCUA
rnacentral:tRNA from 2 species